UACAGAGGGUGCAAGCGUUGUUCGGAAUUAUUGGGCGUAAAGGGCGCGUAGGCGGUGCGGUAAGUCUGUAGUGAAAUCUCUGGGCUCAACUCAGAGUCUGCUGCAGAAACUGCCGUGCUUGAGUGUGGGAGAGGUGAGUGGAAUUCCUGGUGUAGCGGUGAAAUGCGUAGAUAUCAGGAGGAACACCUGUGGCGAAAGCGGCUCACUGGACCACAACUGACGCUGAGGCGCGAAAGCUAGGGGAGCAAACAGG
rnacentral:rRNA from 1 species